UUGAUCCUGGCUCAGAAUCAACGCUGGCGGCGUGCCUAACACAUGCAAGUCGAACGCGAACGGGGCUUCGGCCCCUAGUAGAGUGGCGUCCGGGUGAGUAACACGUGGGUAAUCUACCUCCGGGUGGGGAAUAACGCCUCGAAAGAGGCGCUAAUACCGCAUAAUGCAGCGGCACCUUAUGGUGAAUGGUUGUUAAAGCGGGGGACCCUUCGGGGCCUCGCGCCUGGAGAGGAGCCCGCGGCCGAUUAGCUAGUUGGCAGGGUAAAGGCCUACCAAGGCUUCGAUCGGUAGCUGGUCUGAGAGGACGGCCAGCCACACUGGCACUGACACACGGGCCAGACUCCUACGGGAGGCAGCAGUGGGGAAUUUUGGGCAAUGGGCGCAAGCCUGACCCAGCAACGCCGCGUGAGGGAGGAAAUCCUUCGGGAUGUAAACCUCACAAGCAAGGGAAGAGCGCGCGGGGGAUAAAACCCCCCGCGCCCGACGGUACCUUGCGCAAGCCACGGCUAACUACGUGCCAGCAGCCGCGGUAAUACGUAGGUGGCAAGCGUUGUUCGGAAUUAUUGGGCGUAAAGGGCGCGUAGGCGGCCACGUAAGUCAGCUGUGAAAGCCCGGGGCUCAACCCCGGAGGGUCGGCUGAUACUGCGAGGCUAGAGUACGGAAGAGGUAGCUGGAAUUCCCGGUGUACGGUGAAAUGCGUAAUUCGGGAGGAACACUGAGGCGAAAGGCGGGGCUACUGGGCCGAUACUGAACGCCUGAGGCGCGGAAAGCCAGGGGAGCGAACGGGAUUAAAUACCCCCGGUAGUCCUGGCCCUUAAACGAUUGGACACACUUUGGUGUGUCCGGUUAUUCCAAGUCCCGGGCGUUUGCCGGAACUUAACGCGUUUAAGUUGUUCCCGCCUGUGGGAGUNCGGUCUNCAANGGCUUGAAAACUCCAAAGGAAUUGACGGGGACCCGCACAAGCGGUGGAGCAUGUGGUUUUAAUUCGACGCAACGCGAAGAACCUUACCUGGGUUAAAUCAGACACGUAAGGCUCAGAGAUGAGCCCCCCCCGCAAGGGGCGUGUGUGAAGGUGCUGCAUGGCUGUCGUCAGCUCGUGUCGUGUGAUGUUGGGUUAAGUCCCGCAACGAGCGCAACCCUUACCGCUAGUUGCCAGCACCUCGGGUGGGCACUCUAGCGGAACUGCCGGUGAUAAACCGGAGGAAGGUGGGGAUGACGUCAAGUCAUCAUGGCCUCUAUGUCCAGGGCUACACACGUGCUACAAUGGCCGGUACAAGGCGCAGCAAGCCCGCGAGGGGGAGCCAAUCGCAGAAAGCCGGUCUCAGUUCGGAUUGCAGUCUGCAACUCGACUGCAUGAAGUUGGAAUCGCUAGUAAUCGCAGAUCAGCACGCUGCGGUGAAUACGUUCCCGGGUCUUGUACACACCGCCCGUCACAUCACGAAAGCGGGCUGUACUAGAAGUGGCCGGGCUAACCCUUCGGGGGGGCAGGUCACGACGGUAUGGUUCGUGAUUGGGGUGAAGUCGUAACAAGGUAGCUGUAGGAGAACCUGUGGCUGGAUCACCUCCUU
rnacentral:rRNA from 1 species